UGCGAUUACGUAGCGACUCCGACUUCAUGGCCGUCGAGUUGCAGACCCCAAUCCGAACUGAGACCGGCUUUAUGUGAUUCGCUCCACCUCACGGUAUCGCAGCACUUUGUACCGGCCAUUGUAGCAUGCGUGAAGCCCAAGACAUAAGGGGCAUGAUGAUUUGACGUCAUCCCCACCUUCCUCCGAGUUGACCCCGGCAGUCUCCCACGAGUCCCCGGCAUUACCCGCUGGCAACAUAGGACAAGGGUUGCGCUCGUUGCGGGACUUAACCCAACAUCUCACGACACGAGCUGACGACAACCAUGCACCACCUGUGGACCAGCCAAAAAGGCACGCACAUCUCUGCACGCUCCCGGUCCAUGUCAAGCCUUGGUAAGGUUCUUCGCGUUGCAUCGAAUUAAUCCGCAUGCUCCGCCGCUUGUGCGGGCCCCCGUCAAUUCCUUUGAGUUUUAGCCUUGCGGCCGUACUCCCCAGGCGGGGCACUUAAUGCGUUAGCUGCGGCACGGAGAACGUGGAAACAUCCCCCACACCUAGUGCCCAACGUUUACGGCAUGGGACUACCAGGGUAUCUAAUCCUGUUCGCUACCCAUGCUUUCGCUCCUCAGCGUCAGUAACGGGCCAGAGACCUGCCUUCGCCAUCGGUGUUCCUCCCUGGAUAUCUGCGCAUUCCACCGCUAC
rnacentral:rRNA from 1 species